GCCGAGGUGGUGGAAUUGGUAGACACGCUAGCUUGAGGGGCUAGUGGAAGAGAUUCCGUGGGGGUUCGAGUCCCCCCCUCGGCACCA
rnacentral:tRNA from 2 species